rnacentral:rRNA from 1 species
CAUAACGGAGGAAAAGAAACCAACAGGGAUUGCCCCAGUAACGGCGAGUGAAGCGGCAACAGCUCAAAUUUGAAAUCUGGCUCCCUCGGGGCCCGAGUUGUAAUUUGCAGAGGGAGCUUUUGGCGUCGGUCGUGGUCUAAGUUCCUUGGAACAGGACGUCACAGAGGGUGAGAAUCCCGUACGUGGCCGCCGGCCUUCGCCUUGUAAAGCCCCUUCGACGAGUCGAGUUGUUUGGGAAUGCAGCUCUAAAUGGGAGGUAAAUUCCUUCUAAAGCUAAAUACCCGCCAGAGACCGAUAGCGCACAAGUAGAGUGAUCGAAAGAUGAAAAGCACUUUGGAAAGAGAGUGAAAAAGCACGUGAAAUUGUUGAAAGGGAAGCGCUUGCGGCUAGACGUGCCCGCGGUUGAUCAUCCAGGCUCCGGCCUGGUGCACUCCUCCGCGGGCAGGCCAGCAUCAGUUCGGGCGGUCGGAUAAAGGCCUCUGUCACGUACCACCCCUCGGGGUGGCCUUAUAGGGGAGGCGCAACACGGCCAGCCCGGACUGAGGUUCCGCGCAUCUGCUAGGAUGCUGGCGUAAUAGCAGCAAGCGGCCCGUCUUGAAACACGGACCAAGGAGUCUAACAUCUAUGCGAGUGUUUGGGUGUCAAGCCCGAGCGCGCAAUGAAAGUGAACGGAGGUGGGAACCCUCACGGGUGCACCAUCGACCGAUCCUGAUGUCUUCGGAUGGAUUUGAGUAAGAGCAUAGCUGUUGGGACCCGAAAGAUGGUGAACUAUGCCUGAAUAGGGUGAAGCCAGAGGAAACUCUGGUGGAGGCUCGCAGCGGUUCUGACGUGCAAAUCGAUCGUCAAAUUUGGGCAUAGGGGCG